GCCGGGGUAGCUCAGUGGUAGAGCGUCGGUCUGAAAAACCGAGCGUCGGCAGUUCGAUUCUGUCCCCCGGCA
rnacentral:tRNA from 1 species